CCUACGGGUGGCAGCAGUGAGGAAUAUUGGUCAAUGGACGCGAGUCUGAACCAGCCAAGUCGCGUGAAGGAUGACUGCCCUAUGGGUUGUAAACCUCUUUUAUAUGGGAGUAAAACACGCCAUGCAUAGCGUCCCGUGUGUACCCGAUGAAAAAGCAUCGGCUAACUCCGUGCCAGCAGCCGCGGUAAUACGGAGGAUCCGAGCGUUAUCCGGAUUUAUUGGGUUUAAAGGGUGCGUAGGUGGAUGGUCAAGUCAGUUGUGAAAGUUGGGGGCUCAACCGUAUGAUUGCAGUUGAAACUGGCUGUGUUGAGUACAGUAGAGGUAGGCGGAAUUCGUGGUGUAGCGGUGAAAUGCUUAGAUAUCACGAAGAACUCCGAUUGCGAAGGCAGCUCACUGGACUUCAACUGACACUGAUGCACGAAAGUGUGGGUAUCAAACAGGAUUAGAUACCCGGGUAGUC
rnacentral:rRNA from 1 species